UGCGAGGCGAAGCAGCGAUGUGAAGCAAAUCGCACCAAAGCCGGUCCCAGUUCGGAUAAGAGGCUGAAACUCCCCUCUUUGAAGUCGGAAUCGCUAGUAAUCGCAGAUCAGCAUGAUGCGGUGAAUACGUUUCCUGGUCUUGUACACACCGCCCGUCAAACCAUGAGAGUCGCCAACACCCGAAGUCCGCUUUGCGGCCUAAGGUGGGGGAGAUGAUUGGGGUUAAGUCGUAACAAGGUAAC
rnacentral:rRNA from 1 species